rnacentral:lncRNA from 1 species
GCAAAUAAAUUAUGGAGUUAAUCAUAUAACCAGCCAUGAAUCUUGACAGGUUAAAUAGCAAAAAUAUUCAACCAGCAUGCAGUAGGCUAGCUAGUAGUUCCAUCGAUAUUUUAAAUUAAUUUAGAACUGUCCUGAUAUUUUUUUUUUUUUUUUUGUGCACCAGAACUGUCCUGAUAUAAAAUAAUAUCUUUACAAGUAGAGAUUGUUUUCUUUUACAUUUUUAUAAAACAACAUUUUUUUGGGGUCAUAUUGUGUGAAAAGUGCGAAAAAUCAAAUCAUUUUUUGUUUGUUAAUAGAAAUGCAUAUAUGUUGUUAGAUCUUUGAGCCAUAAUCUCCUUCGAUCCGAAACCUGCUUUUACGAUUUGUAUAUACUAAAACAUAAAUUAUAAGCGAUUUUUGUAUAAACAUACGAUUUCAGUUUGCUAGCUUUUUAUAUAUUAUAAGUUUAUAACCAAAUGAUAAAUAUUUCGUAUUUAGAAUUUUAUAUAGGAAUUAAUAUACUUACUUUCCACAGAAAACAGUAACUUGAAAAAGUUGGUUCUUUGGAGUUAGUUUGUUUGUUCCAGUGUAAGACACGUGUACGUCCAGAUAUAACCGGCCAGGUUAUAUAUUACUUAAGCUACACGACAAAAAAUGUCACUAAAAGUUUUAGUAGUUUUGUUCUUUUUACAAGCAUGCAUUUUAUUCAUCUUCUUUUUUCCUGUUGUUAUUAGAAUUGCAAAAAAGCAAGAUUUGAAAGUCAGAUUACAGACAUUUAUUCGGAGGAGAAAGGAAAACCAAAAUUAACCAAGGACAAAGAGUUGACUAAGAAAUAAAUGGAAUCGAACUUGUUCAAACUAUUUCUCAUACCGAUAUGAAACAAAGCUACUCACAAAGGACGACUUGCGUCUAUCUAUUGUUCAGCUAAGAUACCUCUAAAAUCUAGCCGCAAGCAUGAAUUUAUUCAAUCUCUAAAAUCUGUAAGCUAGCCGUAGAAAUGAAAAAAGAAAAAUAGUAUGUAUUGUUCUUUGGUUAACUAAGUGGUGGUAGUUUAGUGGUUUCUAGUUUCUACUUCAAAAAGAGUGGUUUGCAUAUAAAUUACGAAUCAAGUUGUUUCAAGCGCGAAAGUUAGAAAAUGAUUUAAAUUAAUAUUUCAGCACUUGAAAUAUUGUACUGCUUUGAACUUAUUAAAAUUUUUGGUGAGUGAACUAUUCGACAGUGAUACUAAAUUUAUUAAGUUACUAAUGUUGCCAAAUAAUUUUCUUUGGUUUAGAUGUUUAAGUUGACGUAAAUUCUGUAGCUUUUGGAUUUGUGAUCAUUUAAAUUUGUGAUUGUUAAUUAGCAUUAAUUUGUAUAAAAUUAUCUAAAUAUGAAGUUUUAUUAGAGAACUAUAUAUUUUUUGCUAUGUGAAAGAUCGACCGGUCUAUUUUGAGUGGUUGAUUUUUCUCAAAAAUCCAAAUUCUAUGUAAUGGUGAUGGUUCGAUUGCUCUCUUGAUAUAAUGAUCGUUAACUUGAUUUAAUUUUACAAGCAUGUUUUUUUAUUGAUUCUUGAAUCACUUAUUUCAACUUAGUUUAAAAAAUUAACUUAUUUGAAAAUCUCCAAAUCUACGUUUAUUUUCAGUAAUCCAAAACAUUUAAUAGUUGAAUACAACCUUCCUGAUCAUUUCUAGAUGCCUAAGAGUAUAUUUAUUGUAAAUAUUUUCUCCUCUAAACUUCGUUCUUAAUUUUAAAUAAGAUUAUAGCAUCUUGAGGUGUUUUCGUUAAACUUCUGAUUUUGAUUAUGUAAAUGGACAUAUAUAUCCAAAAUCUCCAAGGAAAUUCACAUUGUACAAAUAUGCAUAUGUCGACAGACAUACGUUUACAUGGAUGUGUGGAUGUAAUAUUUCAUAUACGAAAAGUACUAUUUUCAACCCGAGUUAAAAAAAUAUGAAUGUCGACGAAGAAACAUUAUGUCUAGGGAACAAAACUCAUAUAUGUUACGUACAUACAAUAAUGAGAUGGAUAUAGUAUAUCGACCGUCGUACCAAUACAAUAAUUGAGAGGAAAAUAUAUUCGAGAGCCUCCCAAUUAAUAUGGAAUCCUCAAAGUAGAGUUCAAUAAUUUCAAAAAUAAAAUUAUUGGUUUGAAGUUUUAACAUUAUGUGUUAUAAAUGUUUUUUCCGGUACACGAAUUGGCUAAGUAUGGGUCCGAUCGAUAAGGGUCGUAUUCAUCAUAUGGAUACAAAUUUAAUAAGGCGUAUCUAAUUAUAUGGAAUCGUAUCUCUUAUUUUGGAUAUGACGUAAAUAUUAUCUUUUCGAAGCUGUGAAUAUAUAUUUUUUUUAUAAGAAAAUAAAAACACUUUUUUUGGGGUUCGUCUAUUAUUUGCCAAGAAGAAACGUGGCCUUGGUACACCGUUUAGUCAAUGUCAAGUCUUUGGAAAAUUCUACGAUGAAACGUAAAUCUUUGACCACAUUUCACUUUCUUGAUAAAACAAAAUAUAAAGUUAACUCAAAAUAAACCCAUCAAAUAAAAAGGUAUAUCAUCAAGUUGAUUGGGAACUAUACAAAACCCUACCGAAGUACACUCUUUCUUUCGUCUAUUGAUUCCUUUAAUAAAAGGUGUAAUGUUCUUUUGUAUUUUGUUUCUUUAUUUGCCCCCACACGGUAUCAUGUAUCGGUAAUUAAAAACCAAAAAACAAAACAAAUGGACAUGACAAUGAUGAGCUAGAUUGUCUGAACCCAAACUUGCAAGUUGUAGUAUUAUAUAUUGUAAAUUGUAAUAAUCUUUGAGAACUUUUCGUUUUUAAUUACUUGAAAAGACACGUUGCCGAUGAGUAUAUAUUAGCAUAAGACUUGCGUUUACUGUGUGCAUGUUGGGGAUGUUUUUAGAUUAAUGAAAUGGUUAUGAUUAUUUAAGCUUUAAAGUCAGCAUUAUAGUUUUAUGGGACCUCUUUCGUUACGAAUUCAAAUUGGAUAGUUGUACGUAUAACCAGACUUCUAUGCAAUCAAGUAAACAUCAAUGUGGAUCAGUUAGCAUAUGGACACAUCCGAGAUCUUCAUAUCUAUAAUAUAGAAAGAUGUAGUUGCCGUCUGAUGAAUUAGAGGGAGGCCACAGAAAUGUAAAUGCCGUCUAGUGAAUUAGGGAGGCCACAAAUUCUUCAUAGAAAAAGGUGCAAAAUAACAAAAUAUUUAGGAUAUUCAACAUAAAAUAAAAAUUGAUGAGUUGGUUAGUCGUUCUUAUAAGAGAAAACAAGAGAGAAUUUGCCAUUGAAAAAAACCAAACAUGACCAAAAGAUUUGUAAUAUGAUAAUAUCCUUUCAUUUACUAUAGUCACCCAUUUCAGCCGCAAAACUAAUAGAUAGAUCACAUAAAUAUAUAUAUAUAUAUAUAUAUAUAUAUAUAUAUAUAUAUAUAUAUAUAUAUAUAUAUGUCACAUAUAUUGAAAGACAAUGUGAUAUUGCUUAAUUAGGUCGUGAUCACACUCGUGUAUUCAGUAAUAGUUAGAUUGUAUCACAUUUUUGAAACUAUAUCCUUUAUCAAACAAAAUUUAUAUGUAAUAUAGUGCGGGAAAGGAUAAUAUCAACUAAUUAUUGUUAUCUCCGUUUAUAAAUUUGCAACCAUACCUUUUUAAACUGUUAAAGGUUGAAUAAUUGACAAAGUGUAGAUCAUAAUAGAUUAUGCGAGUAUCAUCGUUAUGUGAAUAUCUAAAUUCAACACACAAGUUAGUUUCUGAACUAAUGUUAUAUAUAUAUUUUUUAACACUUACAUCACUUUUGACCGCAAUAUAACUCAAGAAUUCGAAUUUCACUAUUUCAAAUUCAGAAAAUGAUUAUUAAAUAAAAUUAUUUGUGGGUGAAUAUAUUCCAUCUAUUUAAAUAUAGAGAUCAACAUUUUGACCAAUCAACAAAUUCACGUGUCAAAUUAUUACUUGAAACUGAAAAUAUUCAAAAAAAAAAAAACAUUUCUUAUAAUGCUCGUAUUUAUUCCCUCAUUAGAAUUUUGACCAUGCAUGUUCUAAGGACUCCAUUUAAAUUAAUUUUCUUAUAUGUACAUGCAUACGUGUCUACUAUAGGAUCAUUCUUUAUUGGUUUACGUACAAGGAGAAGGAGGUGGUGUAUGGAGAAGUACGGAUUUGGUUUCUCAAUCAAACAAGUCGUUUUAAAAACGAAUAGAAAGAAAGAAAAUAAAAAACUCAAUAUUGACCUGACCCCAAUCAAUUAAGUGCAUAAGAAAUCAAACUUUGUCCAAAAAGGACUGUUUUUAUUUAUUUUAAUAACACAAAUUUGGUUUCUUAUUUGAUAACGAAAUUUCAAUAAUACAACUUUAUAAUUUUUAGGUUGCAUGGUUCCUACAUUUUCUAUUACUACCACAUAAGUGCAGUUUUAUUCAAAAAAAGUUUUACGUUUUAAUGUUUUUGGUGUUCAAGAUCAAUUACUGCAAUGUCGUUCAAACUUUGAGGUGCCCCACGAACAUUAACGCAUUCUUUAGAAGUCAACUCUAAAUUUGUUUACCGACCAAUAAUGUUCCUUGCUAUCUAAACUAUAGUAGAAAGAACGUUUUUUGUUUCCCUAGAGUUAAUAUGCAUGGUCGACAUAAAAUAAUUCAAGAACUAUAGAAUAUACAAAAAUAAAUAUCUACGCCCAUGACAGAAAAAAACAAAAUCAUGAAUUCAUGAUAAGCAAUAUUACGUUAUACAAGAAACGUAAGGAUGUGGGAGAUGAAGAACAAUGGGCUUUCACUAAGCGGUAUCCAUUGAAACCAUGGAUUGUUUUCUCUUCACUCGUAAGAUGCUAGUUGUCACACGAAUUUAUUCAUUUUAUUUAAUAAUCUUGGAAUAUUUCAUAUUUUUUUGAUAAUUUUUCAUUUCAAUAUUCUUAUGCUCAUAUAUAUAUAUAUUUAAAAAUAUCCAUGUAUGGUUGUCAUAUGUCGAGGUCUUAAAAAAAUAUAUAAUAAAGUUUGCAUUGGGACGCAUAUAUUUAAAAUCAGAUAAUACACUAUAAAUUUUAAACUAAUAAAAAAAAGAACAAUUAUAUGAGCUAACGAAUUUACACUAUAUAUAUAUAUAUAUACACACAUAAUUACGUUAAUGAUGCAAAUCUGUAAUAGUAAACGUGUGUGUGAGAGAACCUCUGAAAGUUCGAAACAAGCAACGUUCAUAUAUCUUGGAGGUUAAAUCUUCUGACAAAAGUGUACAAAGACAAAAAGUUAUAUUUUUAUAUAAUGUUGAAAACAGUUUGGCCAAUACAGAGUACGCAGCGAUUCGUGUACGAGUUGGUAUCAAGCUUAAUUAAGACAUUUAAUUAGGCUAAGUUGAUUUAAUUAACUGGUGGCUAUAAGGUGAUUAACCAUAGAUUGGUCAUUGGUCCAUCUAUUAGUUGUUUAUUAUAUUAAUUUUAAAAUAAUUUUCCCGUCAAUCGCAUUCUCUUAAUAUAGUAUAAAUAAGCAAUAUUCAUCCACAUGCCUAACGAUCAUGGUUUUACAAUUUGUUUUGCGUUGCUUUAACUAUAUUAAUAAGAGUAUAAUUAAAAACACGUCGUUAUGAAGUAUACUCAUUAUAUAAUUACUCUACAUUUAAUUUUUGUCAACGCAUAUCUAAUUAUUUCACUUAGUAUAUAAUUAAGUUGAUCACAACAUAUUAAAUAUAAUUAUAAAUGAAUAAGCUGCCUAACGUACGUACGUAAAACUUAAUCAUACCUUCAUUAUGUAUGAUUGCAAAAACUUAAUGAAUAUUGGAUAAAAGUCCAUUCAUCGUCGACGUCGUGACUCAUAAACAAAUCAACUAAAUAUAACACUUCGUCAUGUUGUCAAAAUACUCUUAAUGUAUAAACAUUCAUCGAAUUAAUCAUCAUCAUCCAAGAGAAUCCUCUAAGUCAGAUUUCUAAACAUGACAAAAAAAUUCACAUGCUCAUGCAUUACAAAGCUCGAAUCAUAAUUCAUAACUCUUUAGUUACAUGUUAAUUAACAACAAUGUUGGUUUGACUUUGUGAAUAAUGGAAAAGGAGAUUAAUAAUGAAUUGACUAAAUAAUAACAAUAAAUAUGUGAGACACGUGGUUAGGUCUAAUUUGAUGAGCAUGAAAGCAGAUACAUAUGACGUACAUUGAUCGUGAAUAGUCAAAGCAACAAAGUCAAUGUGCAUUAUUAAGAAACAUCUACCGUACUUUGCUGGUUAAACUGCAAUUAAUGCGCUUAUUGAUAUUAUCAAAUGAGAAUUUAUAUUCGAAUUAAAUUGCAAAAAGUAAUAAUUAUUUAUAUUGUUAAUGGGGGAACACGAAACAUUGAAUAAUAAGGCAAAUGCUUUCGGGAGAGGUAACAACGGGUACAGUACGGAUCUGAGAGUAUUAACUACUUUGUCUACUUUAGUGUCCAUUGAUCAGACUGUGUCACUGAAACCAUUAUGCUUUCAUGGAUCAUAAGUAACAGACUUCAGAAGUCUUUAUAUUUUGAGAGAAGGCCCAAUUAAUGGUUAGGCCCAAUAAAAUACCCAAUUCGUAAUUUUAAUAUGCUUUUGCCGGCGCCGGGAAACCGCCGAUGUGUUGUUGUUGGUGAUGGUAAGGAUUUCUACGAUUUCGCCGGAAUAUUUGAGAAUUUAUUAUUCCGGUUAUGUCACCUACUCUCUUACGCACACAGUUCAUCGUCGGAAUUAUUUUUCCGGCUAUUGUUUUUCGGAUUUUCAUAUUAGUAAGAGAAAACAUGAGAGACACUUCGCGUCCUCUGUUUUGUCGCCGGUUACCUCUAGUGACUGUAAACUGUUCGACGAAAUGCCUAAGAGAGAGAACAGGACGGUGGAUUCAAGAUUUUCAGUCUUGCGAGAUGUGCUUAGAUUCUGUAUGAUGAGAAUAGAGACUGAGACUCCGAGGAGUGUCCAUUGUUUUGCUUUGAAGUGUGGUUUCCUACUAGAUUUGCCUGUAUCUUCGCAGCUUCUGACGCUUUACGGCAGAACAGGGGAGUUAGUGUCUGCUUUGGGGCUGUUUGGUGAAUCGAAAGUCAAAGAUGUGAUUGUUUGGAACAGUUUGAUCACUGCUCUGAAUCAAAAUGGUCGUUACAUGUCAGCUGUUGGAAUGUUCGUUGAGAUGAUUCAGAAGGGUACUGAGUUUGAUUCGACAACGCUUUUACUUGCAGCUUCCGCGUUAUCCAGUCUACAUCUGUGGAACAAAUGUCCGAUGGUUCAUUGUUUGGCAAUUGAGACUGGUUUAGUUUCGGAUUCUAGCUUGUGCAAUGCAUUGUUGAAUCUAUAUGCAAAAGGCGAAGACUUGAACUCCGCGGAAUGUAUAUUCGAGCAUAUGGAGCAUCGAGACAUUGUUUCUUGGAACACGAUCGUGACUAAAUGUCUUGCAAAUGGUCAUCCGAGAAAAUCAUUAAAGUACUUCAAAUUGAUGAGUGGUCUAGGAAAAGAAGCUGAUAAUGUGACUUUUUCAGGUGUUAUCUCAGCUUGUGGUUCUCUUGAGGACCUUUCUCUAGGCGAAUCCUUCCACGGGUUGGUUAUAAAAUCAGGUUAUAUCCCAGAAGCUCAUGUCUCUGUAGCCAACUCAAUCAUUUCGAUGUACUCAAAAUGUGGAGACACCGAGGCUGCAGAAACUGUGUUUGAAGAACUAUUGUGCAAGGAUGUGAUUUCUUGGAAUUCAAUCCUUAGUGGGUUUUCUGCAAACGGAAUGUUUCAAGAAGCAUUUGGUAUUUUGAAGGAAAUGCAAUCUGUGGAUAAGAUUCAGCCUGAUAUCGCCACAAUGGUUACAAUAACUUCCAUAUGCGGUGAUUUAUGUUUUUCACGAGUGGGAAGAGCAAUUCAUGGUUAUACGGUUCGCAGGGAGAUGCAAUCCAGAGCACUAGAGGUGAUCAACAGCGUUAUUGAUAUGUACGGUAAAUGUGGCUUAACAAGUCAGGCUAAGUUGUUGUUUAAGACAACAAAAAUCCGAGACUUGGUUUCAUGCAACUCAAUGAUAUCUGCUUUUGCGCAGAACGGGUUUGCACAAGAAGCUAAGAAUCUGUUCAAGGAAGUUGUCAGUGAGUAUUCUUGUUCAAAGUUUAGCUUGUCAACUGUGUUGGCAAUUCUUACAUCUUGUGAUUCCUCUGAUUCUCUCAUCUUUGGCAAAUCAGUCCACUGUUGGCUGCAAAAGUUAGGGUUUGGGGAUAAUAUCCUUUCGGCUAAUUCAGUUAUAAACAUGUACAUCAGUUGCAGGGACCUAACUUCAGCAUUCCUGCUGUUAGAGACGAUAUCCGAUACAAGGGAUCUCACAUCUUGGAACUCUGUUAUCUAUGGCUGUGCAUCAAGUGGUCACCAUUUAGAAGCAUUGACAGCGUUUCAAGCAAUGAGUCUUGAAGGGAAAAUUAGUCAUGACUUGAUUACUCUUCUGGGUACUAUAUCAGCUAGUGGAAACCUCGGACUGAUCUUACAAGGAAAGUGUUUUCAUGGUCUAGCAAUUAAAAGUCUGAGAGAACCUAACGGUCAACUGAAAAACACAUUGAUCACCAUGUAUGGUAGAUGUAAAGACAUUGAGAGUGCAAUGAAAGUCUUUGGCUUGAUCGCUGACCCUAACUUGUGUUCCUGGAACUGUGUGAUAUCAGCUUUGUCUCAGAACAAAGCAGGACGAGAAGUAUUUCAACUCUUCAGACACUUCAAGUUAGAGCCAAACGAGAUUACAUUUGUUGGUCUUCUGUCUGCCGCGACUCAGCUCGGUUCAACAAGAUAUGGUAUGCAGGCACACUGUCAUCUCAUCCGUCGUGGGUUUCAAGCUAACCCUUUUGUCAGUGCAGCACUUGUAGACAUGUACAGUAGCUGCGGGAUGUUAGAAACCAGCAUGAAAGUGUUUAGAAACUCAGGGGUGAAAUCAAUUUCGGCUUGGAACUCGGUAAUCUCUGCGUAUGGAUUCCAUGGAAUGGGCAAGAAGGCAAUGGAGCUAUUCAAGGAAUUAAGUAGUAGUAACUCAGGUAUGGAACCAAACAAGAGCACUUUCAUAAGCCUAUUGACAGCUUGUAGCCACUCUGGGUUUAUCGAUAAAGGUCUAAGAUAUUACAACCAAAUGGAGGAAAAAUUUGGGGUUAAACCAGUUACCGAGCAUCGGGUUUGCAUUGUUGACAUGCUUGGCCGGGCAGGGAAGCUGAAAGAAGCUUACGAGUUCAUCACAAGGAUUGGUGAGCCACAAAAAGCAGGUGUAUGGGGAGCUCUGUUGAGUGCUUGCAACUAUCAUGGGGACACAAAGUUGGGAAAAGAAGUUGCAGAAGUUUUGUUUGAAAUGGAACCAGACAAUGCAUCUUACUAUAUCUCCUUGUCCAAUACUUAUGUUGGGUUGGGAGGUUGGGAAGAAGCUGUACGUCUACGGAAGAUAGUGGAGGAUAAAGCUUUAAAGAAGCUCCCUGGUUACAGUGUUAUUGACGUUAGUGUUAGAUAAUAUUUGAGGCUGUAUGAGAAAAGAAAAUAAUAUGACAACAGGCAAUAGAUUCCUUGUAAAAUCCAAGUAAUAACAUCACCGUAAUUGUUUAAAAUCCAACUGAGGAAAUACAAAAGCCAAAAAAAAAGAAGGUUAAAAGAUUCUGAAACUUUUAUUGCUCAGUUAAUAAAAGCUGUUGGAGGAAAACGUAGAAGCAAAACUGAUGAAACAACAAUCAAAAGCUUGAGCAGCAAGAACCAUCUGCUAAUGCACUCGGAAAAGAGAUCGCUGCGCAAAAUACCCGAGCUCACAGAUCAACUUCCUCUGAGCAAAAGCCAUUCUGGAAUUCGCACAAUGCUUAUCCAGACUAUAUUUUCUAAAAUCCAUAAACGAAAUGAAGAGAAAAUAAACAUUUCAGAAACUGGUUCCAUCAAAUUUUGUGAUUGAUAAAACAUGAUUGGAUUUUAGAGAUCAAAAACCUCGUGGUAGUUGUCCUAAUCAUCCAAGUAGUAGUAUGAGCCAGCUGACUUUUGCUCCCUGUCCUUGGUCGACUCUAAUUUGUUGAUUCUUGGUCUGAAAUUGGUGGGAUCUCGUCUGAAUGUGAUGUUCAGAUGCUGCAAGGUAAAGAAAGACAUAAAUCGAAAUCAAUAGCAUUAAACUUUUUUUUUUAAUCAAACUUUAUGUCCUUUCUAUUCUGGCCCCAAACGGUAUAACUCUCAGAAAAAUAGGAGACUUACAGAUAGGAAGAGAUUCAUUCCACUGAGCAGUGAUUGAGGACAAUUUGCAGUACAAUCAAUGGAUGGUUGUCCUUCGUACACAAUAACUCGGUCUGCCAAAUAGGUCGCCAUAAUAAAGUCAUGCUCGACCACAAAUGCAGUUUUCUUUGCAUGAAGAAUAAAUCGCUUAAUGACUUUAGAAGCCACGAUACGUUGCUCCGAAUCGAGAUAUGCACUUGGCUCAUCAAUCAGGUAUAUAUCCGCAGGCUGCAUCGAUUCACAAAAUGCAUGAGAUCACUGAGACAAAGAAAAACAGCCAUUUACUUUAGACUUCUAAAACAAUAUACUCACCUUUCCAAGGCACAGAGCUAAUGCAACCCUUUGCAGCUCUCCUCCUGAGAGAUUGACAACUUCUUGAUCCAUCAACUGCUCAAUCUGAAGUGGUUUCAUCACAUCCGACACAAAUUGAGGAUGCAUGUAAGAAUCUCGAAUCUUUUGAUGUAGCAAGUGUCUAACUGAAUUCUGAAACUUUGGGCUGAUCUUCUGUGGCUUGUACGAAACAUUAAAUUCGGGUAUCUCUCGGUCUGGUCCUUCUGUAUCAUCAGGUUUCAACAAACCCGCCUGCAGAUAUUACCAAUAAUACAACUUUAGGAGUACAGUACUUUCUGAAACUCUAACCAUAAGAGAACCUAUCAUGGAGGAAGACAAUACCAGCAUCCGAAUAAAUGUUGUCUUUCCUGUACCAUUCUCCCCAAGCAUUACAAUAAUCUGAGAGUCGGUGAAUUCACCUUCUGAUACUCUCAACCUAAAGUUUCCUUGAUUUUUGGUCAUCGCAGGGUAUUUGUACCUAGCGUACGACUGUAUUUCUUCAGCACUUUCUUGUGGAGUCUCAGCAACCUUCAAACAACAGAAAAACCAUUAAGGAAAAAUAUUGUUUCCCUUGGUAAGAUAACUUAACUUAGCCUCUUCAGCAUACAAAAAAAACAAAUUACCUUGAAGGUUAGAGAUUCAUCUCUGAAACGUAAAUUUUCUGUAGGAACAAACCCAGCCAAGAAAAUGUUGAUUCCUUCUCUGACAGAGAAAGGGAGAGUCACUACACCAUAGGCUCCUGGUUUCCCAUACAGACAGCAAAUGAAAUCCGACAAGUAAUCAAGAACACUAAGAUCAUGCUCUACAACAAUGACAUAGCUGGAAAAAAAGGAAAUAAUGUCAGAAGCUAAUUUUUUUAUCCAAUUUGGAAAAACCUUCAUAAGUUGGGAAAAUCAAACCUAUUAGGCCUCAGGAGAGAACGAACAACUUGAGCAGCUUUGAGUCUUUGCUUAACAUCGAGGUAACUAGAUGGUUCAUCAAACAUGUAAAUCUCUGCAUUUUGUAUGGCAACAACAGCGAUUGCAAACCUCUGCAGUUCACCACCAGAUAAAUUCUCAACAGCACGGUCAAUGACCUGGUUCAGCUCCAGAUCAGCACAGAGCUCUGCCUUCUUAUCUCUCUCAUCCUUCUGGUCAAGGACCUCUCCAACAUUGCCUCGAACAGCUUUUGGGAUGUGAUCGACAUAUUGAGGCUUAAUAAUGGCCUGUCAUGCACAGAAUAUCAGAACUUGCUCAAUUGAGCUGCUUAAACCAUUAAAUAAUACUUAGCUAUCAUGAAGACAAAUAUUAAGAUCGGUUUCAAUUUACCUUAAGAUUGUCUUCUAGAAUACGGGUGAAGUAGUUUUGAAGUUCUGACCCACGGAAGUGAGUCAAGAUUUCUUGCCAGUCUGGAGGACUCUGUUGAAGGGGAAACAUAAGAAUACAUCGACAAAAAAGAGACGCAAUGUCAAAGAUAAAGAAACUCAAGAGAGGCUAUUACAGUGAAGCGGCCUAAAUUUGGUUUGAGCUUUCCAGCCAAAAUUUUAAGAGCAGUGGAUUUUCCUAUACCAUUUGUUCCAACCAACCCUAGCACCUGCCCCGGUCUUGGAACCGGGAGCCUGAAAGUACAGAAAGAGAUUAAAUUGUCUUAAAACUAGAAGCGGGAUCCAUAUUUCAGGAAAAUAAUAGAUAAACGGACCUGUGCAACUUAAAAGUGUUUGGCCCAUAGCGAUGGGUUGUAUCUUUCUCUAAGUCUCUCGGAAGAUUGAUAAUCUGAAUAGCUUCAAAGGGGCAUUUCUGCAAUUGUGUAACAGCAGAAAAAAUUUAGUGUCCUAGUUUUAGCAACAUUUCCAGAGGCAUAUUCGGUACUGGAAAGAGCCUAUACAUACCUUCACACAAAUACCGCAACCAAUGCACAACUCCUCUGAGAUAAAAGCAAGCUUGGAACCAACAGUCACCUCAAUACAAAGUUUUCCUACGAUAAAGGCAAGUCAAUGCAUAAGUGGCACUGAAAUUUGUAGAGCCGCAACAAAAACUUCAAGCAGGAAUUAUAAACUAAUGGCUUCACAUAAACACCUAACCAUCCUCUGUUUCACUAAUUGACAUGGCGCACAUGAAACAGCCGACCAAUUACAGUAGAGUGAUAAUAAAUCCAUAUGCAAGACCACAAAUUCAAAUUGGGAAUAAGAAAAUACACCUGUCUUGACCACAGGACAGCUCUUCUUGCACUCUUGGCGACAUUUCUUUGGCUUGCACCGGUCUGAACUUACAAUAGCAAUACGUGUCAAUCGAUCUGCCAUCUCUCAAUAGAUCUACAAAAUACAUGAAAUAUAUACUUUAACUGCCUGAGGAAGAUACAACAUAUUCAUAGACAAUUUCAUAGAAGAAUACAACUGGUUUUAAUGGGGCAGUUUACAAAAACAAUUUUUUGGGGAAAAUCAUGAAUACCAAUCUGAUACUAGUCUCACUUAUGUUGGAAACUAAACACAUAGAUUCAAAUACACAAAAUGGGACUGUCAGGCUUAAGCAAAGGCACAAACGAAACUACAUAGGAAACAAUUAUAGAGUAGUAACAAACAAUAUUAAACAAUAUUAAAAGAUAAUCCACUUACAAUCAGAGCUAAAAAUAGUAACUUGAUUACCCCAAGAUAGUAAACAAUAAUGAAGUAAUAGUUGACAUGCAAAAUCUUAGAGCUACGAUAUCCGAAAAUUCAAACGCAAAUUCAAUACUUGGAAUAAAAAGGGUGAACCAAUUUAUACAGAAGAAGAAGUGUGAAAUCCAAAUUCGCCCACUUAUCAAAACAAUCGAGAGAUGAUAAAAACAACAAAUCUAAACACUUUCGAUACAAUUAUAAGAUUUUUGAAUCGAUAUCGUCCGUUCAAUACAAGACCAGAUGUAAAACUCAGCUACGAAUCAAUCGGGAACCAAUCACCAAUAACCCCAAAAAUUCUUAAUCGGUUUCAUAUCGAAAAUUAUCUAAGUUAAAAAAUUUAAAUCUCCAUCGAGGAGAAAAACAAAAUCGAGAGAUUAAUACCUGAGAUAAUUGAGAGAUAUGAUUCGAGCGUGUAGGUAGAUUGAGAUGGAAAAGAAAAAAAAGCGUGUGCCGAUUCUAUAUGGAACCAGCGGACACACGCACCUGGGAGAGUUAUGCUUUGCGUAAAAUGAGAAAGUGCUUAAAAGUUAGGGUUUCCUGAAUUAUCUGAUUUCGUUUGACCCGAUUCGUUUUUUAUUGGGCUUGGGUCGGUUACGUUAUUGUCUGAGCAUAGCGAAUAUCAACGCGUCGGAAAGCCCUUCUUGACAUGUCAUUCAAUCUUUUUUGUCGUUAUGAAGUUUCCAUGUCUUAAAGAAAACUAUAUAGUCAAAACUAUUCUUCCUCAUUUUAGUUUCAUCAAUCUUAUAAGGGAAUAUUAACUUUAGUUGUAUCUUUGUUCAUUUGGACUAUGCAAUCAAAAUGAAUUUUGGGUCCUUGUCUCGUUAUUGUAUAGGCUAUUGUUAAAUUAUGCAUACUUUCUUUAAAAUUCAUUAAGAACAUAAUUUUAUCUUGAAAUACGCUGGAGUUCAUAGGACCAAGAGAUGAAGAAGAACAAGAUACAAGGUCAGUAUCAUAGCAGAAAUAUUUUGAGAACAAAUUAUCGAGCAUAAGAGACAUUUAAGAAAAGAAGAAUCCAAAACCAAACACAAACUGUCAUUACAAUACCAAAUUAUAGAUAGUUUUAAAGCAUCUGCUAUUGAGAUUUUAAAGAAACCUCUUCUGCAGAGACCAUAAGGUUUAUACUAGCACUCUCCAAUUAUUUCCUCGACCAGCAAUCUCUAAACCGACAUAGUUAAA